rnacentral:rRNA from 1 species
UACAGAGGUCCCGAGCGUUGUUCGGAUUUAUUGGGCGUAAAGGGCGCGUAGGCGGCCUCCGCAAGUCGACUGUGAAAUCUCCGGGCUUAACCCGGAACGGUCAGCCGAUACUGCGGGGCUAGAGUGCAGAAGGGGCAACUGGAAUUCUCGGUGUAGCGGUGAAAUGCGUAGAUAUCGAGAGGAACACCUGCGGCGAAGGCGGGUUGCUGGGCUGACACUGACGCUGAUGCGCGAAAGCUAGGGGAGCGAACGGG